rnacentral:rRNA from 1 species
AUGUACGGCAAGCGUCUGCGAACCAUCGGAGACGAUCAUGUUACUCGCGUUACAGAGGCGGAGUCCAUGGAGCAGGACAUACGUGUCCUGCUUGAUCAAAUCCAUGGUUUCUACAAGAAGGCGCUCAAUCGGCUGCCGGUAAAGGGGAUUCGCUCGUUGGCACCGCGCCUUCUCAAGGCCGGCCUUUGCAUCGGCUUCCUCGACCCAAUCUCCAACAUCAUCCUCAACACCAUCUCCUACUGUCCUUCGCCGUUGCCCAGCCUCGAGGAGGGUGUACUGGCGAGGAAGACGAUCUUGUCCAAGAUCAUUACCGACACUGACGACCCCAGAGUCUUUGAAUUACCGCUGGACGCGCACGCGGCCCACAGCAUGACGGUCGCGCGGCGGUCUCUGGAAGGUCUCGUGAGCUUCCUCAUCUACUACUACCGCUACCUCGCGGAGGCAGAAGCCCUGCGCUACCUGCGCCUGGCCGGGGCCGACCUCCUCGUUGCCGUGUGGCUUAUUGAUCAAGAUCGUAACAAGCCCUCAGUGUCCGUCUCUGACCUGCUUGACAGGAAGCCUCCGUUCGAUAUCUCCUCCCCUACCACCAAAAUAGCCCUGCGCUGUGCAGCCGCCUCCGCGAGGCACCCCGAACCAGCCAUUCUGGUGAGUACGUCACUGUUGCUGGCAUCGUCGCUGGGUAAUGUAUCUGAGUAUCUACAUCGGCAUCCCCGCCUCUCCAUUAGAAUGGUAAGGUGCCUCCGCCAGUGGCUCAGUCUUCAAGACUGUCGAGAUAUGCCCCCCAUGGACAUAUGGCGUCCCAUGUAUCUUGCCACUUUACGUCUUGCUGUUGGGAAGAGGAAGGAGAAGAAGGAGAAUACUACGUCUGGAUAUACAGAGUCUUUGAAGCUGUUGCUUCUCGACAAGAUCCACGAGCUUUACCUAGAUGCUCUUUCCAAGCUAUCUGGAGAUGGCUUGUGCAAGCGUCUCGCCUGCAGCCUCCUCAAGGCUGGCUAUUGCUAUGGCCCAAUGGAUCCUGUCUCAAACAUCAUCCUCAACACUGUCUGGUAUGGCUCUACAUUCUCUACACACCAUGAGUUUGAGCUUAGCUUUGAGGUGGACAUGAUAUGCACCAAUGCCCUGAUGCGCAUAGAGUGCUGCUCUCUCUAUGGCCUCGUUGCCUACAUGCACACUCUCUUCAGCGCUCUAACAGAUCAUGAUGCCAUAUGGUACCUGCUCAUAAGCAAUGCUGACAUCCGUUCUGCCAUUAAAAUGGCAGAAGUGGAUGGCCAUUCUGUGUGCUAUGACAAUGACCCUUAUAGGGAAGCAGCACGUGCUUCAUGGCAUCCUGACACUGAUGCUCUGGUAAAAUUCUUUUCGUAUCCAUAA